rnacentral:rRNA from 1 species
CGUCUAUAUACGUAUAGCAUAUCAAUAAGCGGAGGAAAAGAAACUAACUAGGAUUCCCUCAGUAACGGCGAGUGAAGCGGGAAGAGCUCAAAUUUGAAAUCUUCAAGGUUCUACCUUGACGAAUUGUAGUUUAAAGAAGUGUUUUCUGUUGGAGUUUUGGUAAAAGUUCUUUGGAAUAGGACAUCAUAGAGGGUGAGAAUCCCGUAUUUGACCAUUACUUCCAACGUUGUGAGUACACUUUCAAAGAGUCGGAUUGUUUGGGAAUGCAGUCCAAAAUGGGUGGUAAAUUUCAUCUAAAGCUAAAUACUGGCGAGAGACCGAUAGCGAACAAGUACCGUGAGGAAAGAUGAAAAGAACUUUGAAAAGAGAGUUAAACAGUACGUGAAAUUGUCAAAAGGGAAGCGUUUGACACCAGUGUUGUUUUCUCGAAAAUCAAUUAAAAAUGGCUGGGAUUUUGUGUUGUACUGACUUUAUCAGCUUUCUGCACUUUUUUCCUAUCUUUUUUAAUGCACUUUUCGUUUAACAAGUCAACAUCAAUUUCUUUUGUUGUAAAAGAGUCAUUGGAAGGUGGCUUUCUUUUCGGAGAAAGUGUUUAUAGCCUUUGACUUCUGCAGUCGGAGAGAUUGAGGUCUGCAGCGUAGAUCCUUCGGGGUUAGAUACAUUUGUGCUAAGUUAUAGCCUUUCAUAGACAACUUGUUGACUAUGAUCAGUCAUGUAGCUUACUCGCUUAUGUCAUUUUACCUACGCUUAGGAUGUUGACGAUCAGCUGAGCGCG